rnacentral:rRNA from 1 species
GACGAACGCUGGCGGCGUGCUUAACACAUGCAAGUCGAACGAAGUGGCGAACGGGUGAGUAACGCGUAAUCAACCUGCCCUUCAGAGGGGGACAACAGUUGGAAACGACUGCUAAUACCGCAUACUGAAGGAGGGGAUUGCGUCUGCUUAGCUAGUUGGAGGGGUAACGGCCCACCAAGGCGAUGAUCAGUAGCCUGGCUGAGAGGAUGAACGGCCACAGUUGGACUGAGACACGGCCCAGACUCCUAAGGGAGGCAGCAGUGGGGAAACUUCCGAAAUGGACGGAAGGCUGGCGGAGCAAAGCCGCGUGAGUGAUGACGGGCUUCGGGUUGUAAAGCUCUGUUAAUCGGGACGCGGUACCGGAAUAGAAAGCAACGGCUAACUACGUGCCAGCAGCCGCGGUAAUAC